rnacentral:lncRNA from 1 species
UGUUUGAUCCCAGUAUGAUGUCGGGUUGCUUUUGGAUCUAUAUUGACAUGUAUGUUAUUUACGCUUCUCAGGAUUCCAUUAUCCUCUGUUGCUCCGUGAAAUUACUAUUUAUUAUUUAUUAUGAUAGUUUCCUCAAUGCCAAUACCCCAAUAUUUUUAACAAUGUAUGGCAUAUGGUGGAAUGGAAAUUGAGUACGUAAUAGUCUAAAAUUCAGAAAACAAUGACUCGAAUCAUUUUCUUCCUUAUGACUAAUGAUUUUGUUUGUGAAAAUGUCCGCUAAGGUGACCUUGUAAAUGGU